GAGAUUCCCCCAGUAGCGGCGAGCGAACGGGGAGGAGCCCAGAGCCUGAAUCAGCAUGUGUGUUAGUGGAAGCGUCUGGAAAGGCGCGCGAUACAGGGUGACAGCCCCGUACACAAAAGCGCAUGUGUUGUGAGCUCGAUGAGUAGGGCGGGACACGUGGUAUCCUGUCUGAAUAUGGGGGGACCAUCCUCCAAGGCUAAAUACUCCUGACUGACCGAUAGUGAACCAGUACCGUGAGGGAAAGGCGAAAAGAACCCCGGCGAGGGGAGUGAAAAAGAACCUGAAACCGUGUACGUACAAGCAGUGGGAGCACAGGUUUACCUGUGUGACUGCGUACCUUUUGUAUAAUGGGUCAGCGACUUAUAUUCUGUAGCAAGGUUAACCGUAUAGGGGAGCCGCAGGGAAACCGAGUCUUAAUUGGGCGUUAAGUUGCAGGGUAUAGACCCGAAACCCGGUGAUCUAGCCAUGGGCAGGUUGAAGGUUGGGUAACACUAACUGGAGGACCGAACCGACUAAUGUUGAAAAAUUAGCGGAUGACCUGUGGCUGGGGGUGAAAGGCCAAUCAAACCGGGAGAUAGCUGGUUCUCCCCGAAAGCUAUUUAGGUAGCGCCUCGUGAAUUCAUCUCCGGGGGUAGAGCACUGUUUCGGCUAGGGGGCCAUCCCGGCUUACCAACCCGAUGCAAACUGCGAAUACCGGAGAAUGUUAUCACGGGAGACACACGGCGGGUGCUAACGUCCGUCGUGAAGAGGGAAACAACCCAGACCGCCAGCUAAGGUCCCAAAGUCAUGGUUAAGUGGGAAACGAUGUGGGAAGGCCCAGACAGCCAGGAUGUUGGCUUAGAAGCAGCCAUCAUUUAAAGAAAGCGUAAUAGCUCACUGGUCGAGUCGGCCUGCGCGGAAGAUGUAACGGGGCUAAACCAUGCACCGAAGCUGCGGCAGCGA
rnacentral:rRNA from 1 species